CUUCCAACACAAAAUAUUCUAUGAUUUUAAAAUCAUCUAGUUAUAAUACUGUAGAAAAAACUAACAAUGUAAUGUACUUGUUUAAUAGUACAAAAAUGCAUCUUUAAAUUACCUUCACAGUAAAUUUGAGAGAGAAUAUGUUUUAACUCCUCCAACUCUGUGUCCCCCAUGGCAUAGAAAAUUCUAUUAAGAGGAAAGAGGAAAAUGGUAUAUAUAAUAUAGAAAUCAAUGUUGGACCACAGGUAAAGGACAAUCCCAGUGAUCUCAUAAUUUUAACCAGAGAGAUCAGUUCUUUGAUGAGUGCACUCUCCUGACCACUUUCCAUUUCACUUUGCACAAUGAACAGAGAAACCUAGAGAGCAGUUUUGUACUGUGUAGCUCUUGACCUCGAUCAUCUUCAGUAUCCUAUUCACAAAUGCCACCUUCAGCUUCCAACUUCACUCUUGCACACAUACCAUCCAUUCCCUUAAAGCAAAUACACAUUUUGCAAGCACAUGAAAAUUACUGUUUCCACAUUAAUGUGAAUGAUACUUGUCCUGGGGUGAUGUUAUGAAGCCACUUUAUUCCUUAACCAUCCGCUCAAUGCCCAAGGACACCAUGCCUUUAAGAUGGACCUGGGGGGCGGGGCAGGAGCCACAGGGCCAAGGGAGCAGUUGAACGGUUCAGCCCAAUGGGGGCUGGGCAGGGCUCAGGAGGGAGAGCGCCAAGAGCAUUGUGCUGCUUUUUGGUUUCCUUUGUGUUCCAGCUCACUGGGAAAAGGUUCUGAAGAAUGGAAUGGAAUGGAAUGGAAUGGAAUGGAAUGGAAUGGAAUGGAAUGGAAUGGAAUGGAAUAUUACAUGUGAAAGGGAUCUACAGUGUUCUUCUGCACCAGCUGUCCAUGCUGCCACAUUGUUUUAAAUGCACAGAAGUUUCAUUUGUGAACUGCCAUCAGGCUCUCUCUUGCAUUACAGAAAACAGAGGCCAGAUCGUCAGCACUGCAGCUUGCAGUGUGCUCUGCAAGUCAAGGCUCUGCCGUCCAACACCAAGAUUCACCUCUUCAACAUCCACUGCCAUUUCUGCACUAUUGCAUGUAGACACCAUCUUCAACUUUUGACACUUGUGGGUUCAGUGGGUACCUUUCACCAGGGAUAAACAGGCUGCGUUCAUCCUGAUGACUCAGCAGACACCUAGUCACAAGUAGGGCAUGCCAGACCUCUUCUUCCAAUACCAAAAGGUACAUCUAGGAAAGAAGACUACGAGACAUUAUUCACUCCCUAUUUCCCUAAACUGUGUUUCCUUAAGAUUUUUCAUGAUUUUCAUACUUAUCUAAUCCCAUUGUCUCCAAUAAUCAGCAUUCCGUAACUCUUUCCCACUACUCUGAAUCAUCAGGUUUUUUAUUACUUUAGACAAGACUGAAAGAGAAAUCUAGUCUUAUUAAUAGUAAGGAAUGUGAAAAAUCCUAGGCCCACAUACCCAUACCAACACUCCACAAAGGACAUCUGAGGCACAUAAAACUGGCCUUCCAAGCAGCAGCAAAACAGAACAAAACAGGUUAUUUCCAGAGCAUUAUGGGUCUAAGCGGAGAGACAAUGAAAUGCUAGCAACAGCAUCUCAGUCAGAUCUGAUGACCUUUGUGCAAAACUCUGCAGGAGAAUAUUUAAGACAUGAUUUUAUAUUAAAUAAUAGAUUUUAGAGAUAUUAUAUGUUACCUUAUUAAGUUCCCAAUUUCUGCUUGCUGUAGAAAGCAUAAGGCAAAAUAAAAACAUUGAAAAUUGUGUAAGACAAUGAAAAUCUUUCUUACAGUAGUCAACAGGUCUGUCAGAAGGAUAUGCAUCUGUCUUUGUACUGAGCAAAUAAAGAAGGACUGCAGUGCCUCUUUCCACUCAUAGCAAAGCUGCAGAAAAGACUUCAGAGAGGUACAACACUCUGCAAGGUUCUUUCGAACUUCACCCCACAUUCCCAUACCUUUUCAAAAAUUCAAAAACAGCUGUUCAAUCCCAACACUGCAGCCACACUGAACAUUAGGGAUGUAAAGUUGACAUUCUUGCUAGGCAUACAUUUCUAGUUAUUUUGUUUACGUUUACAUUUUUAAAAAUUCCAUAAAGUUAUAAUUAUUAAAAUAAAUCCAUAAAUAUUAAAAUAAAUCCAUUGCAAAUGCAUUAUCAUGAUAUCAAAAAGAUCAUCAGGAUAUCAAAAGCAACAUGUAAAUAUCUUGUUAACUUAAAAUAACUAGAAAGCAAAGACAUUAUUUAUAUGAAAUAAGUUAAUUUUGUCAGGAAUACUGCUCACAAUAACAUCAUGUUAGCACAUAACAGCUUCACAUUUUAUAAAAGAUACUUAUUUCCUAACGAGAGAUAGGGACUGUAUCUUGCAGGAAGUUUCUCAGUGAGUCAAGGAGAAGACUGAAGGCUUAAUGUAUAUACUACAAAGAUUGUUUGGAGUUCAGCCACAUGCAACAGCACAAAAUUCACUGUCUCCCAACAAAAAUAGAUCACGGCAAUGACAGGUUAGGACAGAUUAGGUCAGAUCCUAAUCACAUGACAGUACCAAAAUUUUAUGCCAUUUAACAGGCUAAUAUGAAGUUACAACCAGUACUUCAUUAUUCCCCUCAGUCACACAUCUUUAUGUCCAUGAAGUACUCCAGCACAAGUGGAAGGAGAAAAAUUAAGACAGAAACAGGAAGCUGUCAGUUGUUUCGAAUAUUAAUUAUUUGUGAAAAUAAUAUACUUUGAGUAAAAUUACCAAGGUGUCACUAACUUAAUGUUUUCUAUAGGCAGUAAGACAUGAUGCAGCUGAGGAUGCGUAACAAAGCUGCAGGUCAAAUGCAAGGAAAAUAAUAUAUUUUUAAAUACAAUUUAAUUUUUCCUCACAAAUUUUCAUACUACUCAGUGAUCUAUCACAAACAGAUAUUACACCCAAAUCUGUAACAUGCCAUUGAGAGUUUCACAGCCAACCACAGUGGAGCAGCAGGGGAUAGGAAGAGUCUUGAACUGUUACUGCGCUUAACUUAAUUUUGACUUUUGUUUACUUGAAAUACAAGACCCUCAACACCAAAAAUCAGCAGACUUACACCAUCUUCAAGAAAGAUUUUACUAUCUCCCCCUCAUGUGGAUGUAGUGCUAAGCAUUCCGCAGCAACAUUCAAAGGAAGAAAUGUUUCAGAAAGGAAAAGAACAGGUGGUUAAACUCAAUAGUUAACAGUGAGGGCCUGCCUUCUGUUCACAUUGUGUUCUUAGUGCACCUGAAGCCACCAAACAGCUACACACUUCUAGGUGAUGUCUGAUGCCAGAAAUGAUUCCCAGUUAUAACAUAAUAUCAUAUAUAUAUUUUGCGCCAAUUUACCUACAGUCUAUUUUACUCUAUCUAGCUGAGACAAAAAUAAAUGAAUGAUUAAUAUAUGCACAAUUUGUCAUCUGCCAUUUGAAGACAAGCCAGAGCUACUCUGACGGCAAAAAACUGGGAUAAUGAAAGAAAGGAAAGAAAUUUGUUGUACAUAACCGGCUACGGAUUUGUUUCUUCUGUGAAAUCAUCAAGAAUAUCUGUUGCAACCAUCACAUCACUUCACAAGCACUACUUUUACUGCAAAGUUCAAGAUAAAACAAAAAAACCGUAAGCAAUGUGUCCUGGGUUGCAGUGUAUUCUAUCACCAUCCUCAUGAGCCGUUGAAACCAGGUGGGGCAGUGUUUCCUUGCCUCCUCCCCCCAGACUAUCUUGCUGUUAAUUGCCCAUCAUUGUCCUGCCGCCUGACUCAGAGAUAACUCCCUCCGGACUAUCUUCUGUUAAUGAGCCUAAUCAACACUUGGCCUCAUGACUCAUUAUCCCAUUGUGAGAUGCUCCUACCAGAGGGAGGAACCAAGCAUUCCAUCCUGGAUAUGAUCUGAGAUUCUGAACACCAGAGACAACCUUUCCACUGGAUUUCCAGAGGACAGGAGCUACAUAGCCACCACUGGACUUUCUGAGGAAGAGCAGACCCAUUUUGUACAGGAUCACCGCUUCAGGAGGACUGCAGCCACCAUUCUAUUGGACUGCUACCACCACCCUGCCUAACAGGGUGUCCAGUUGUAUCCUGACUCAGUCAGUUUAACCCAGUGUUUUCUGC
rnacentral:lncRNA from 13 species